CUGGAGAACAAUAAGAAUUGUACCGAAGAAGUAAUCUUUCAGGUAAAAGGACAGAGGCAGACAA
rnacentral:ncRNA from 2 species